rnacentral:rRNA from 1 species
GAGGGGUAACGGGGUGCUUGCACCGCCGACGACCGGCGCACGGGUGAGUAACGCGUAUACAAUCUGCCUUGUACUGAGGGAUAGCCCAGAGAAAUUUGGAUUAAUACCUCAUAGUAUAUGGAUCUCUCAUGAGGAUCAUAUUAAAGGUUACGGUACAAGAUGAGUAUGCGUUCUAUUAGCUAGAUGGUAAGGUAACGGCUUACCAUGGCUACGAUAGAUAGGGGCCCUGAGAGGGGGAUCCCCCACACUGGUACUGAGACACGGACCAGACUCCUACGGGAGGCAGCAGUGAGGAAUAUUGGACAAUGGGCGAGAGCCUGAUCCAGCCAUGCCGCGUGCAGGAUGACGGCCCUAUGGGUUGUAAACUGCUUUUAUACAGGAAGAAACACCCCGACGUGUCGGGACUUGACGGUACUGUAAGAAUAAGGAUCGGCUAACUCCGUGCCAGCAGCCGCGGUAAUACGGAGGAUCCAAGCGUUAUCCGGAAUCAUUGGGUUUAAAGGGUCCGUAGGUGGACAAUUAAGUCAGAGGUGAAAUCCUGCAGCUCAACUGUAGAAUUGCCUUUGAUACUGGUUGUCUUGAGUUAUUAUGAAGUAGUUAGAAUAUGUAGUGUAGCGGUGAAAUGCAUAGAUAUUACAUAGAAUACCAAUUGCGAAGGCAGAUUACUAAUAAUGAACUGACACUGAUGGACGAAAGCGUGGGGAGCGAACAGGAUUAGAU